UGGGGAAUUUUGGACAAUGGGGGCAACCCUGAUCCAGCAACGCCGCGUGAAUGAAGAAGGCCUUAGGGUUGUAAAGUUCUUUUGUCUGGGAGCAAAAGUUAGGUGCUAAUAUCACCUAAAUAUGAGAGUACCAGAAGAAUAAGCACCGGCUAACUACGUGCCAGCAGCCGCGGUAAUACGUAGGGUGCGAGCGUUAAUCGGAAUUACUGGGCGUAAAGGGUGCGCAGGCGGAUAAUUAAGUUAGUAGUGAAAUCCCCGGGCUCAACCUGGGAAUUGCUAUUAAGACUGGUUGUCUAGAGUGUGUCAGAGGGGGGUAGAAUUCCAAGUGUAGCAGUGAAAUGCGUAGAGAUUUGGAGGAAUACCGAUGGCGAAGGCAGCCCCCUGGGAUAACACUGACGCUCAGGCACGAAAGCGUGGGUAGCAAACA
rnacentral:rRNA from 1 species